GAAAGGUACCUGCCAGCAAGGCUGAUAAUGUGCUUGAUCCCCAGGAUCCACAGCGUGGAAGGAAAGAACCCAUGUCUACAACGGUCUUCUGACUUCCACAUGUGCACCAUGGUAGAAGCCAAGCCUACACAAAUAAACAUAUAAAUGUUAAAAAAAUUAGAUCUCAAAAAAACAAAAACAAAACCCUCAACAAUACACCUGAAGUCCUUGGAAAAACAAGAGGAAGCCAAUCUCAAAAAUUAAUAGAAGAUAAAGAUCAAAAAUGAAAUUAAUGAAGUGGAAACAUAAAUGAACAAUGUAACAGAUCAAUGAAUCAAAGGGUUCUCUUUUGAAAGGAUAUAUAAAAUUAACAGGCUUUUCACAAAACUAGUAAAAAAAAAAAGGAAAGGGACAUUAAUAAACUAAUCAACUUAGUGGCCAAAAAGUGAUCUUAUAGCAGGUAACACUGAAACCCAGAUCAGUAGGAUUCUUUCCAACAUCAUACUCUAAUGAAUUUGAAAACUUAGGAGAAAUCGAUAUAUUCCUAGACAAUUCUACCCACAAUUGACUUAGGAAGAUGCAAAAACCCCUGAGCAGAAUGAUGAUGAUCAAUAAGACAGAGACUGAUAAAACAGCCCCCAAGUUCACAACCAGAAAGAUCCACUGAUGAAUUCUCCCAGACCUGUAAAGAACAAAUGCCGAUGCCAGUGAGGCUAUUCCAAAAAACAGGGACUAAACAUCUCCAAACCCAUAAAGAGAUCGCCUGGUACCGAAACCAGAUGAGAAAAGGGGAGGAGGCAGCUAAAGGCCAAGUUCCUUGAUGAACACAGAUGUGAAAGAUUUCAAUAAGAAUAAGAUGCUUUUCAAGCUGAGUUCAACACAUCUAAGUGAUCAGACCUUAUGAGAGACUUGCAUUUAUGCCAGGGUGGCUUAGCAUGUACAAAUGCUAAGCACAAUACAGCAUUUAAACAGAAUCAAGGGAAAGAACUACAGAAGCAUUCAGCAGAUGCAGAAGCAGCCCUGACAAAACCCAGCAUCUCUUCACAAUAAAAACCCUAUAGACACUUAGACUAGAAGGACCACACCUCAGGAUAAUUAGGACUAGAGACUAUACACCUAUAGCCAGCAUUUAUACUGACUGAAAAAAAAAAAAAAACGAAGGCAUCUCCCCUAAAAUCAGAAAUGAGACAACUUAUCUAUUUGACAAUAUAGUGUGUGAAAUUAUGCUGGAGCAAGAGAGAGAUACGAUGGGCAGAAAUAAGAAAGGGAAAUGUCACAUUAUCCCUGUUUGGAGAUGAUGUGAUUCUAUCCUUAAAGGACCCUAACGUCUCUACCAGAAAUGGCUGUGAUAUGAUAAAUACUUUCAACAAAAUAACAGGAUACAAAAUCAAUAUAUAAGAAACCAGUAGCUUUUCUAUACACAAACAACAUAUUCAUUGGGAAAAAAAAGUCAGGAAAAGAAUCACAUUUGCAAUAACUUUACAGAAGGAAAUGCUUAGUCAUAAAACAAAAUGCCAAAGACUUUUACAAUGAAAACUAUAAAUCACCAAAUAAACUGAGAAGCUAGAAAAUGGGAAAGACAAACAAACAAUCCCCAAACUCUCCCAUGUUCUUGUUUUGGCAGAGAAAUAUUAUUAAAAUGCUCAUGUGGCAAAAAAUGGUAACUCAUUCACAGGGACAUUCAAACGGCAUUCUUUACACAAAUAGAAAAACCCUAAAAGCCAUAGGAAAACAAGAGACUGAAUAUCCAAAACAAUAUCGAGUACACAGAUUUAACUCUAGAAGUAUCACAACACCUGACUCUGAACUCCACAACAGAGCCAUAUGGACCAAAAUAGGACAGACUCACUACAAAAGACAGGAAGCCCAAAGGAUGAGAAUGAGAGUCUCAGGAAUAAACUCACACAUCUUCAGCUUUCUGCUAACUGAACGGAGGACAACAGGAUACAACGGAAAACAUUCACAGUCUUAAACAGGCAGUUGCUGGAAACCUGGAUGCUCACACACAGAAAUCUGAAGACCUCCAGAGCUCUCUCAUUCUGCAGAAAAGUCAACUCAGCAAUCAAAGACUUUGAUGUAAGAUUUGAAAUUGAAAUUACCGGGAGAAAUACU
rnacentral:lncRNA from 1 species